rnacentral:lncRNA from 1 species
UUGUUAUUUGCACCUUUGUUCUUGUAAAGCUCAGGAUGGUCUGUAAUUCAUCCAUUAAUGUCGUUAGACCAUAUAAAAAGAUAUAACAGAUGUGUGAACAUUUCAACAAGACAUUCCUCUCCUAAGUUUUUCCGCAUAGUCCUUGCCACGUUGGAAAUAGUCAGCACUAUAACUUGAAGGUAUGGUAGAUUUGGUUUUGGCCCGGCCCAUUAGCCUCUUUUCCUGCAGAAGCUUUUUGGCAGCCUCUGUUUCCUCUAUAUUUUUCAGCUUAAAUCUGCAAGUGCUCUGGAAUUUUGUAUAAUUCAUCCUCUGCGUGUUUUAUAUCGUUUUCAACUUGAUCUGUCACGUCAAUAUUCUUCCCUUUUUUCUUCGCCAACUCUUGCUCAAUAUAUUUUAACCUGCG